rnacentral:lncRNA from 1 species
CACAAACAGUGUUCACCUCGUCAUAACGGCAAUCAAAAGGAGAACCGGUGACGGACGCGACGGAGGUCAAAGCACAUGGUGUGAUGCAAGGGAGACAAAUCGUGGGAGAAACCCAUGGCACACAACCAGCAGCAAAAUUGGAGCCACACCCUAGCCAUCGUUUCAAUGCCAAAAGUCUACUGAAGGUUUCGAUAACCCCAUCUAAUGGAGUAUUAGAUUCAACCAAACAUUCAGUAGUGUUUCAAGAAUCUGGUACCCUUGGGGAAAAACAGGAGGAGCAUUUAACACAUAAAAAUGCUAUGGGGUGACGAAAGAAUACCUUUAUCGUGCGCACCAGUGGGGGAAAAUUGAAUGGAAACAAGAAGGGCCAAAAACUCAAAAGAACUAUUUGAGAUAAAGGAAGCCCCU